rnacentral:rRNA from 1 species
UGGGGAAUCUUGCACAAUGGGGGCAACCCUGAUGCAGCGACGCCGCGUGAGCGAUGAAGCCCUUCGGGGCGUAAAGCUCUUUCGACCGGAACGAUAAUGACGGUACCGGGAGAAGAAGCUGCGGCUAACUACGUGCCAGCAGCCGCGGUAAUACGUAGGGUGCGAGCGUUAAUCGGAAUUACUGGGCGUAAAGGGUGCGCAGGCGGUCUUGCAAGUCAGAUGUGAAAGCCCCGGGCUUAACCUGGGAAUUGCGUUUGAAACUACAAGACUAGAGUGCAGCAGAGGGGAGUGGAAUUCCAUGUGUAGCAGUGAAAUGCGUAGAGAUGUGGAAGAACACCGAUGGCGAAGGCAGCUCCCUGGGUUGACACUGACGCUCAUGCACGAAAGCGUGGGGAGCAAACA